rnacentral:lncRNA from 1 species
GUUCCUUCACCGGUAUUGUAAAGCCUAUUGCUAUGCAUUCGAUAUACGCACUGCAAAUUUGCCGGCUGGUUUCACCGGAACGGGCCGCGGUGUGGCAAUUCUCCCUUUCUCCACUCUUAUUCUUCCUCUUCCUCUUCCUGCUUCCUUCUUUGCCACCACAAACCAACACUCCGUUUCGACCGAUUCCUCCGCCGAAACCCUAACCGUAGCCUCCAUGGAGAGGGUCCCUUCUUCCUCUUCCUCCGACGAUGACGAGGAUCGCCGCACCCUCGUCCCCCAGAACGAGACGAAGCCUCCUCGCCGCCGCUGCGCCCUCGAAGUCGGCAGUGACCUUGCCGCCCGAAUCGGCCGCGCCGCCUCAUCCUCCUCCUCAUCCUCCUCCGGCGGCAGCGGCCUCUGGUACAGCAAGCGCUACCUCCUCCUCGCCAUCUGCCUCCCCCUCGUCCUCAUCCUAGUCUUCUUCUCUCUCGACCUCGGCCGCCUCUUCCGCCGCGUCUCCAUCAUUCCCGUCGGCGGCAUUCCUGCCGGCGGCGGCGCCGAUCGGAUGCGGGAGGCCGAGCUCCGUGCUCUCUACCUCCUCAGAAANCGCAGCGUGGUCUCGGCGGGGUUGGAGGUGAGGAAGGCGGGGAGUGCGUAGGCGAGGGUAAGGAUGCGCCGGACAAAACCGAAGCGGGCCGCCUCCGCCUCCGCCUCCGCCUUUGCUGCUCUCUGAGAAGAGAAAAAAGAACGAGAGGAAAACAAAAGAGGAAAGAGAAAAAAAUACAAAUAUAUUUUGGUCUUUGCUGAAAAUGCAGUCCGAAUAUGCAAAAUCGAAAAAUGUGGCCUCACUUUUGCAAAAACUUAAAAUUAGUAAAUUUUUUUAUGCAAAUUGGCCCUUUUUUUUUUUAUUAACUUUUAAUUUUAUUUAUUAUUUUUUUCUGCGAAUACAAGUGGACGCAUCGCGCGGGUACCUUCACCGGUAUUGUAAAGCCUAUUGCUAUACAUUCGAUAUACGCACUUCAAAUUUGCCGGCUGGUUUCACCGGAACGGGCCGCGGUGUGGCAUUUCUCCCUUUCUCCACUCUUAUUCUUCCUCUUCCUCUUCCUGCUUCCUUCUUUGCCACCACAAACCAACACUCCGUUUCUACCGAUUCCUCCGCCGAAACCCUAACCGUAGCCUCCAUGGAGAGGGUCCCUUCUUCCUCUUCCUCCGACGAUGACGAGGAUCGCCGCACCCUCGUCCCCCAGAACGAGACGAAGCCUCCUCGCCGCCGCUGCGCCCUCGAAGUCGGCAGUGACCUUGCCGCCCGAAUCGGCCGCGCCGCCUCAUCCUCCUCCUCAUCCUCCUCCGGCGGCAGCGGCCUCUGGUACAGCAAGCGCUACCUCCUCCUCGCCAUCUGCCUCCCCCUCGUCCUCAUCCUAGUCUUCUUCUCUCUCGACCUCGGCCGCCUCUUCCGCCGCGUCUCCAUCAUUCCCGUCGGCGGCAUUCCUGCCGGCGGCGGCGCCGAUCGGAUGCGGGAGGCCGAGCUCCGUGCUCUCUACCUCCUCAGAAACCAGCAAUUCGAGCUCCGGAACCUCUGGAACCGCACGCUUCUCAGCGCUCGGUCGCCAUCUUAUACGCCAUACAACAGCUCAGUGUCAGUCCCACUCGAGAAAUUCCGGUUGGCAAUGCUCAAACAAAUCAAG